UAGUCCACGCUGUAAACGAUGGAUACUAGGUGUAGGAGGUAUCGACCCCUUCUGUGCCGGAGUUAACACAUUAAGUAUCCCACCUGGGGAGUACGGUCGCAAGACUGAAACUCAAAGGAAUUGACGGGGACCCGCACAAGCAGUGGAGUAUGUGGUUUAAUUCGAAGCAACGCGAAGAACCUUACCAGGUCUUGACAUCCCUUGCAUAGCAUAGAGAUAUGUGAAAUCCUUCGGGACAAGGAGACAGGUGGUGCAUGGUUGUCGUCAGCUCGUGUCGUGAGGUGUUGGGUUAAGUCCCGCAACGAGCGCAACCCUUAUUGUUAGUUGCCAUCAUUAAGUUGGGCACUCUAGCGAGACUGCCGGUGAUAAAUCGGAGGAAGGUGGGGAUGACGUCAAAUCAUCAUGCCCCUUAUGACCUGGGCUACACACGUACUACAAUGGCUAUAACAGAGGGCAGCGAAGUCGCAAGGCGGAGCCAAACCCCAAAGAUAGUCCCAGUUCGGAUUGGU
rnacentral:rRNA from 1 species